GGGCACUGAUUGCCCGCGCCGGCCGAUCGGGCCUCAGGGGAGGGACGAGGCUGAGAGAGGGGACCCUCCAACUCCGGCCCUUCCAGGGGCGCCGGGGGACCGAAGAGAGAUUUGGGAAGGAGGGCUCUCUGGCGAGCUGGGAGGCUGUGACCUGGCCACAGGCGGCGGUCGCGGCGCGGAGGGCGCCCGAGGGUGUCCCAGGGGCCCUGGGAAGCGUUCUGGGCUCCCGCGUCUCUGCACCGUUGCAUCUCAAAGCGGGAGGACACAGUUCCGCGCCUAUGCCCAAGUGGAGGCAACUCGCCAUGCAGGGAUCUGCCUUCCUGUGGAAUGAUCUCCAAUGAUCUUCAAGUAUCUCCUGCAGACCCAGUUCUCUUGCUAAAUAAGUCACUGGAAGAUAAUUCCUGGACACACCUUGGACAGCUCCCCACAUUUCUCUAUUUGGAGCUUUGGGGUGGUAGGAAAUUGAUGCCCUCAGAAAGGACACCCCCAACCAGCAAGAAACCAGAGUUGGUGGAAAACAUCAUUUCUUCACUCUCGAUGGGACAACCUGAAGGCAUGUUCUAGUCAAUACUCCUUCUCACAGGUCCCCAACAAGAGUUAGAGACAGAGUCUCGCUCUGUUGUUCAGGCUGGAGUGCAGUGGCGCCAUCAUGGCUCACUGCAGCCUUGAACUCCUGGGCUCAAGCAAUUCUCCCACCCGAGUAGCUGGAGUAUAGGUUCUCACCAACACGCACAGCUCUUUAUCUUUGACUUUCUGUUUCAUUUCUCUAUUCCCUCAUUAUGCUUCCUGGGAUCAUUUCACAGAUAAGCUACUUGCUCCCAAAUCCUUGUCUCAGGGGCAGUCAACAGAGACAGUGGCAGAGGACCAUGGGAGAGCUAGAAUUUCAGGUCUCCAGACUCCUAGUCCAGUGCUCUUUCCAGGGUUUCUCAACCUUGGCACUAUUAACAUUUUGGACUGGAUAAUGCAUUGCUAGGGAGGGUUGACCUAUGCACCGUAGGAUGUUUAGUAGCAUCCCUGACCUUUGUCCACUAAAUGCCACUAGCAUCCUCCAGUUGGGAACAGUCAAAACUGUUUUCUGCUUUAUCAGAAGUUCCCCGGGGCAAAACACUGUGGUUGCAAACCACUAUUCCACAUCAGGCCAUCUCCCUUGCCAGGUCCAGAGAAAGAAUUUCAAGCCCCAAGAUUCCUUUCCCCUCCCUGUUGCUCUUUAGAUCACAUAAAUGAAACCACUGGAAACUGACCCCCCAAUCCUUUAUUAGAGAUGAGUGAAAUAACAAGUCUGAGAUGAAUGAAACCAGACACUGGGGGCUCAAAAGACAACCCUGUUCCUGUGGGAACCACAGACCAGUCAGGUCUCCAGGGGAAACAGCACAGCCUCCCCAGCCAGGCAGCUGUGUUGGCCAUUGGUGCUCUCUAGUCUCCCCUGCUUGGCUUGGCCCAUUCCUGCCAGGGCCCAGCACCCAGCAACUGGCAAGUUGAGAUGUUAGUGGUUGAUGAUGGCUUAGGUGUAUCUGCUUUCUCAUUGGGGCUGAGCAAUGAUAGAAUUUCUAGGGCUGGGAAGCAGAACCCUUAAGUCUCUGCCCUCCCAAUUCUAUUACUCUCCCUUCUUUCUUUGCCUCUCCAUUCCCUCAGACUAAAAGGCUCCUGAGUUGACC